GCCGAGGUAGCUCAGGUGGUAGAGCAGCGGACUGAAAAUCCGCGUGUCAGCAGUUCGACUCUGCUCCUCGGCACCA
rnacentral:tRNA from 1 species